GGUUGCGAUCAUACCAGCACUAAUGCACCGGAUCCCAUCAGAACUUUGCAGUUAAGCGUGCUUGGGCGAGGGUAGUAGUAGGUUGGGUGACCCCCUGGGAAGUCCUCGUGUCGCAACCCC
rnacentral:rRNA from 1 species